UACAUAGGGUGCAAGCGUUGUCCGGAAUUAUUGGGCGUAAAGAGCUCGUAGGUUGUUUGUCGCGUCGAUUGUGAAAAUCUGAGGCUCAACCUCAGACCUGCAGUCGAUACGGGCAGACUAGAGUGUGGUAGGGGAGACUGGAAUUCCUGGUGUAGCGGUGGAAUGCGCAGAUAUCAGGAGGAACACCAAUGGCGAAGGCAGGUCUCUGGGCCAUAACUGACACUGAGGAGCGAAAGUGCGGGGAGCGAACAGG
rnacentral:rRNA from 1 species